UACGUAGGUGACAAGCGUUGUCCGGAUUUACUGGGCGUAAAGAGCGCGCAGGCGGUCGAUCAAGUCGAGUGUGAAAGCCCCCGGCUCAACUGGGGAGGGUCAUUCGAUACUGAUCGACUCGAAGGCAGGAGAGGGUAGUGGAAUUCCCGGUGUAGUGGUGAAAUGCGUAGAUAUGGGGAGGAACACCGGUGGCGAAGGCGGCCACCUGGACGGUAACUGACGCUGAGACGCGAAAGCGUGGGGAGCAAACAGG
rnacentral:rRNA from 1 species